rnacentral:snRNA from 1 species
GAAUCCGGGCUAGAAGCGACG